rnacentral:rRNA from 1 species
AUUGAGCGCUGGCGGCAUGCUUUACACAUGCAAGUCGUACGGUAACAGGCCGCAAGGUGCUGACGAGUGGCGAACGGGUGAGUAAUGCAUCGGAACGUGCCCAGUCGUGGGGGAUAACUACUCGAAAGAGUAGCUAAUACCGCAUACGAUCUAUGGAUGAAAGCGGGGGACCGUAAGGCCUCGCGCGAUUGGAGCGGCCGAUGUCAGAUUAGGUAGUUGGUGGGGUAAAGGCUCACCAAGCCAACGAUCUGUAGCUGGUCUGAGAGGACGACCAGCCACACUGGGACUGAGACACGGCCCAGACUCCUACGGGAGGCAGCAGUGGGGAAUUUUGGACAAUGGGCGCAAGCCUGAUCCAGCAAUGCCGCGUGCAGGAAGAAGGCCUUCGGGUUGUAAACUGCUUUUGUACGGAACGAAACGGCUCUGGUUAAUACCCGGGGCUAAUGACGGUACCGUAAGAAUAAGCACCGGCUAACUACGUG